GUUGUGUUUGGAAAGUUAAAGUGCACAGUCAUUUGAGUAAAGAAUACAGACAAAAUAAGAACACUCUGCUAAGGUAAUGUGCUUGUAUUGCUCAUUUAUUUGUACAGCUUAUUGUGCAGAACAGUUACUCAAGACUCUCAAGACUUAUUCCCCUCUAGAAAAUAGAGCCUGUCCACCUAUAACUUACCCCCAAACACUGAGAAAUAUCAGCUGAGCCCUGUAUGAAAGUGACUGAGCUCUCCCUCCACAUGAGACUAUUCACCACCACUCCCCAAGUACAAAAAUUAAAUUUUCUCCUCACAAACCCCAUUAUAACACAGCCACCCUCCACACACACAAAAUACAGAGUUCCCCCUCCUCACAUGUCCCCACAAGUGACAGACUUUCCACCCAGCACUGACUUUACCUUCCCUCACACAUAGACAAUCCAUUUACCCCUCCUCCCUCUGUGUGGAUCAGUCACAGAUCACUUGUCCCUUCACACAGCAGCUCCCUCCUUCAACCCCACACAAGCCUGUGCCCCCCGCACCCUCCUCUUCCCCCAUGUGAAUAUGACACACUGUCCUCCCAACACACACACAGAGCUAAACAUUCACCUCCUUCAAGUCAGCCCCUUUACUUAAGAAACUUCUCUGUGCAUACAUGCUACCACACCAAGUCCUGCCAGAAGAGUUCUCCUGUCCUCACACGCUGGUCCAGCCCCGCCCUACAGAGUAGUGUGUAUGCAAAUUAAACACACUGACUAGGGAUGAGAAGGAGACUGACAGGAGAAUCAGCAAAUCAGAGUUAAGCUUCAGAAACUGCUGCAUGUGUGCACUUCCUGCUUCUGCCAGGAAUGUGUAUGGUGUAAAAUAAGGAAGUACAACAGUCACUGUAGCGUUUUUGGGGGUCGGCAACCCCCCCAACAGGGGGCCCAUGAUGAAAGGGCCCCAUCUGCAAAGGGAUCCAUGUGAGGAAUGUGGCAGAGUAAAAUCAAAACUGGGAUCAUUUCUCAUCUUGGCUUGUUGGUAUACAAAGUCCAUGGAUACCGAGAAGGGAGGAAAUGGACCAUUGUGCACUUCUUAUUAACGAAGAGAAAAGAUAACUCUUAAAAUAUAUAAAUACCCAGACUCUCCAGACACUCAAGGAGUAUUUAUCUGAAUUGUAAAAAAAGAAGAAGAAAGAGAGAAAGAAACCUUGUCUGUGACUGUAUAAACUUCUCCAGACCUUUAUGCUUGACACACUUUCCUUAGUUAUGUUUAUCACAAUUACGAUUGCUACACAGUUACUGUUUAUCAAGUUGUUAUUUAAUUGCUUAACAAGUAGCUCUUUCUGCCUCGGAUACCCAAUUGAUACUUUGUUGUAAAUCUCAAGGGUAAGCUGAUGACACUGGUUUACAUGAACUACUUGAAAAAACAAUGUUGCUUAUUGCGAAAUUACACUUGAUUGAGAUACAGCUAGAUGUAUAGUGAAUAAAUAAGAAGUGCCACAUGCAGUAUUCACUGUGUGGAUUUCAAAAUAAAACGUUUUAAAAUA